rnacentral:tRNA from 1 species
GAAGGAGUAGCUCAGAGGUAGAGCACAUGCUCAGCACACGUGAGGUCCUGGGUUCAAUCCCCAGCACCUCCA